CCUACGGGGGGCUGCAGUGGGGAAUAUUGGACAAUGGGCGAAAGCCUGAUCCAGCCAUGCCGCGUGUGUGAAGAAGGCCUUCGGGUUGUAAAGCACUUUCAGUGGGGAAGAAAGCCUUGGGGCUAAUACCCUCGAGGAAGGACAUCACCCACAGAAGAAGCACCGGCUAACUCCGUGCCAGCAGCCGCGGUAAUACGGAGGGUGCGAGCGUUAAUCGGAAUUACUGGGCGUAAAGCGCGCGUAGGCGGUCUGAUAAGCCGGUUGUGAAAGCCCCGGGCUCAACCUGGGAACGGCAUCCGGACUGGCCAGCCAGGGUUCCAGAGAGGGAGGUAGAAUUCCCGGUGGUGCGGUGAAAUGCGUAGAGAUCGGGAGGAAUACCAGUGGCGAAGGCGGCCUUCUGGACUGACACUGACGCUGAGGUGCGAAAGCGUGGGUAGCAAACAGGAUUAGAUACCCCAGUAGUC
rnacentral:rRNA from 1 species